AUACGAGGGGAGCUAGCGUUGUUCGGAAUUACUGGGCGUAAAGCGCGCGUAGGCGGCUUUUUAAGUCAGAGGUGAAAGCCCGGGGCUCAACCCCGGAAUAGCCUUUGAAACUGGAAAGCUAGAAUCUUGGAGAGGUCAGUGGAAUUCCGAGUGUAGAGGUGAAAUUCGUAGAUAUUCGGAAGAACACCAGUGGCGAAGGCGACUGACUGGACAAGUAUUGACGCUGAGGUGCGAAAGCGUGGGGAGC
rnacentral:rRNA from 1 species